rnacentral:misc_RNA from 1 species
AAAGUCGUAACAAGGUCUCCGUUGGUGAACCAGCGGAGGGAUCAUUACAAAAAACAUACUCGCUCUCCAGAGCCUGUAAACCCAAACCCACUGUGAACAUACCAAGCGUUGCUUCGGCGGGCGGCCCCCGGGGGGGGCCCGAGGCCUGUGGUGCCCGCCGACAGUAUCGAGAAACUCUUCUGAAUUCUAGCGGAAUCAUCUUUCUGAGUGCAAAUAUUUUUGUGGGAACGAGUCAAAACUUUCAACAACGGAUCUCUUGGUUCUG